CUCUCAAGAAAAACCAAAAAUUAAGCCAACGUCUCAAGCAAAGCCCCCCCCCCUGUCGAUGUCCUUGUCCAUCUCUCUCUCUUCCUCUCUCUCUUUCAAGCGAGCGAAGCUCGCAUCAAUCGAGACUGGCAGCGAACGCAUCGACGAGUCGUGAAUGCUUGACCGACGGCAGCUGCUUUGAUGUUGUAGGGGACUAAGAGCAUUAUUCUUGGUCUUAGUCCCCAGCAGAUGAGCUGCGACAGCACGAGAUCAGCCAGUCGGGGAUAAUGAGUAUAAGGCUUCACAGCCCUUUUCUUGGUGUUCCCCUUUCUAGCUCGA